rnacentral:ribozyme from 15 species
UGAUGAUUCCUUCUUUUUCUUUUUCUUUUUCUUCUCUUUCUUAUUUUUCUUAAUGGGUUU